rnacentral:tRNA from 1 species
UGGGGGGUCGUCUAACGGUAGGACAUUUCCCUUUGGAGGAAAUUAUCGGGGUUCGAAUCCCUGCCCCCCAG